UUGAUCCUGGCUCAGAAUCAACGCUGGCGGCGUGCCUAACACAUGCAAGUCGAACGCGAAAGUGGAGCAAUCCAUGAGUAGAGUGGCAAACGGGUGAGUUACGCGUGGGUGACCUGCCUUCGAGUGGGGGAUAACGUUCCGAAAGGGACUCUAAUACCGCAUGACAUCCGGCCUUUGAAGAGGCGGAGAUCAAAGCUGGUGAUCGCAAGACCUAGCGCUCGAUGAGGGGCCCGCGUCUGAUUAGCUAGUUGGUGGGGUAACGGCUCACCAAGGCAACGAUCAGUAUCCGGCCUGAGAGGUCGGACGGACACACUGGGACUGAGACACGGCCCAGACUCCUACGGGAGGCUGCAGUGGGGAAUUGUUCGCAAUGGGCGCAAGCCUGACGACGCAACGCCGUGUGGAGGAUGAAGAUCUUCGGGUCGUAAACUCCUUUCGAUCGAGACGAAUAGCCUUCGGGUGAACAAUCCGGAGGUCUGACGGUACCGAGAGAAGAAGCUCCGGCUAACUCCGUGCCAGCAGCCGCGGUAAUAAGGU
rnacentral:rRNA from 1 species